UGGAUCAGUGGUGUGGCGGCCCUCUUGCCUUCUUUUUAAAGCACUCAAGACACGGGGUGGCGGCGGUGAGACACUCGCCGGGUGGCGAUGGGGAAAGGCAGUGGAAACUUUCCCCUCACGUGACAACGCGCGGCGCCUGCGAGCUCAUGCGUGCCUGCGACCGAGUGCGUGCUGAACACUUAACAAGAGAGAAUGUUGGAGGAGGGAGGUAGUGGUUUGG